rnacentral:RNase_P_RNA from 1 species
CGGGCCGGACAGAUGACCACCCCGACGUCAUGUCGGGGAGGAAAGUCCGAACACCGUCCGCCUCAGCGAUGGGGCGGUCAUGGAGAGCCGCUAACGGCGGCCAGGAGCAGGAUGAACGGACGGACACGUGCCCAACGUUCUCUAAAGCCUAGGGAAAGUGCCACAGAGACGAUACUAACUUGCGAGGAGCACGUUAUCCUGAAGGCGCCCAGCGCGCCGAAGGAUCUCUCUCCUUGCGGGCCAAAGGUGAAAAGUACGGGGACCACCCCGUUCCUCCGGCGGUGACGUCGGAGCGUGGUAAACCCUCUCCGGUGCAAGAGCAAGACCUUCGAUUCACGUCGGAGGAACUGGUAGCUCGCAUGACCCCGUCAGCAAUGUCGGGGCUAGACAGAUGGUCAUCGCCCAAACACCUCCUCACAGAGGCAUAUGGGAACAAAAUUCGGCUUAUCGUCCGACCCGAACA